GGUCUGAGCGGUGAUGAGUUCCAUUUUGAUGCAAACGGUGAUGGGCCAGCUCGCUACAAUAUCCUGCACUUCAAACAGGUGUCGCGAGGCGUCUACCACUGGGUGAAGGUGGGACAAUAUCUAGAUGGGGAGCUGCAGCUUAAUAUUGAUGACAUCCAGUUCAAAUGGGGUGAAGCGCACCCGCCGGAGUCGGUGUGCAGCGCGGAGUGCGAGCUGGGACAGGCCAAGCAGUACGUGGAGGGCGAGAGCUGCUGCUGGCACUGCUUCAACUGCACACAAUAUG